GAUGAACGCUGGCGGCGUGCCUAACACAUGCAAGUCGAGCGGCAGCGAAGGGUGCUUGCACCCUGUCGGCGAGCGGCGGACGGCUGAGUAACGCGUGGGAACGUGCCCCAAAGUGAGGAAUAACUGCCCGAAAGGGUAGCUAAUACCGCAUAUUAUCUUCGGAUCAAAGGAUUUAUCCGCUUUGGGAGCGGCCCGCGUCGGAUUAGGUAGUUGGUGAGGUAAUGGCUCACCAAGCCGACGAUCCGUAGCUGGUCUGAGAGGAUGACCAGCCAGACUGGAACUGAGACACGGUCCAGACUCCUACGGGAGGCAGCAGUGAGGAAUCUUCCACAAUGGGCGAAAGCCUGAUGGAGCAACGCCGCGUGCAGGACGAAGGCCUUCGGUUGUAACUAGCUUUUAUAAGUGAGGAAUAUGACGGUAACGUUAUGAAUAAGGAUCGGCUAACUACGUAGCCAGCAGCCGCGGU
rnacentral:rRNA from 1 species